GAUGAACGCUGGCGGCGUGCCUAAUACAUGCAAGUCGAGCGAACGGACGAGAAGCUUGCUUUUCUGAUGUUAGCGGCGGACGGGUGAGUAACACGUGGAUAACCUACCUAUAAGACUGGGAUAACUUCGGGAAACCGGAGCUAAUACCGGAUAAUAUUUUGAACCGCAUGGUUCAAAAGUGAAAGACGGUCUUGCUGUCACUUAUAGAUGGAUCCGCGCUGCAUUAGCUAGUUGGUAAGGUAACGGCUUACCAAGGCAACGAUGCAUAGCCGACCUGAGAGGGGGAUCGGCCACACUGGAACGGGGACACGGUCCAGACUCCUACGGGAGGCAGCAGUAGGGAAUCUGCCGCAAUGGGCGAAAGCCUGACGGAGCAACGCCGCGUGAGUGAUGAAGGUCUUCGGAUCGUAAAACUCUGUUAUUAGGGAAGAACAUAUGUGUAAGUAACUGUGCACAUCUUGACGGUACCUAAUCAGAAAGCCACGGCUAACUACGUG
rnacentral:rRNA from 1 species